CGCGCCGUAGCUCAGUGGUAGAGCGCGUCAUUGGUAAUGACGAGGUCGACAGUUCGAUCCUGUCCGGCGGCACCA
rnacentral:tRNA from 1 species